rnacentral:rRNA from 1 species
GUGGGGAAUCUUGCGCAAUGGGCGAAAGCCUGACGCAGCCAUGCCGCGUGAAUGAUGAAGGUCUUAGGAUUGUAAAAUUCUUUCACCGGGGACGAUAAUGACGGUACCCGGAGAAGAAGCUCCGGCUAACUUCGUGCCAGCAGCCGCGGUAAUACGAAGGGGGCUAGCGUUGCUCGGAAUUACUGGGCGUAAAGGGCGCGUAGGCGGACAGCUUAGUCAGAGGUGAAAGCCCAGGGCUCAACCUCGGAACUGCCUUUGAUACUGGGUGUCUUGAGUAUGAGAGAGGUGUGUGGAACUCCGAGUGUAGAGGUGAAAUUCGUAGAUAUUCGGAAGAACACCAGUGGCGAAGGCGACACACUGGCUCAUUACUGACGCUGAGGCGCGAAAGCGUGGGGAGCAAACAGGAUUAGAUACCCCAGUAGUCC